GAUGAACGCUGGCGGCGUGCCUAAUACAUGCAAGUCGAGCGAACGGACGAGAAGCUUGCUUUUCUGAUGUUAGCGGCGGACGGGUGAGUAACACGUGGAUAACCUACCUAUAAGACUGGGAUAACUUCGGGAAACCGGAGCUAAUACCGGAUAAUAUUUUGAACCGCAUGGUUCAAAAGUGAAAGACGGUCUUGCUGUCACUUAUAGAUGGAUCCGCGCUGCAUUAGCUAGUUGGUAAGGUAACGGCUUACCAAGGCAACGAUGCAUAGCCGACCUGAGAGGGUGAUCGGCCACACUGGAACUGAGACACGGUCCAGACUCCUACGGGAGGCAGCAGUAGGGAAUCUUCCGCAAUGGGCGAAGGCCUGACGGAGCAACGCCGCGUGAGUGAUAAAGGUCUUCGGAUCGUAAAACUCUGUUAUUAGGGAAGAACAUAUGUGUAAGUAACUGUGCACAUCUUGACGGUACCUAAUCAGAAAGCCACGGCUAACUACGUG
rnacentral:rRNA from 1 species